AACGAGACUUCGGGUCUAGUGGCGCACGGGUGCGUAACGCGUGGGAAUCUGCCCUUGGGUUCGGAAUAACUCGCCGAAAGGCGUGCUAAUACCGGAUGAUGUCGUAAGACCAAAGAUUUAUCGCCCAGGGAUGAGCCCGCGUAAGAUUAGCUAGUUGGUGAGGUAAAGGCUCACCAAGGCGACGAUCUUUAGCUGGUCUGAGAGGAUGAUCAGCCACACUGGGACUGAGACACGGCCCAGACUCCUACGGGAGGCAGCAGUGGGGAAUAUUGGACAAUGGGCGAAAGCCUGAUCCAGCAAUGCCGCGUGAGUGAUGAAGGCCUUAGGGUUGUAAAGCUCUUUUACCCGGGAUGAUAAUGACAGUACCGGGAGAAUAAGCUCCGGCUAACUCCGUGCCAGCAGCCGCGGUAAUACGGAGGGAGCUAGCGUUGUUCGGAAUUACUGGGCGUAAAGCGCACGUAGGCGGCUUUGUAAGUCAGAGGUGAAAGCCUGGAGCUCAACUCCAGAACUGCCUUUGAGACUGCAUCGCUUGAAUCCAGGAGAGGUGAGUGGAAUUCCGAGUGUAGAGGUGAAAUUCGUAGAUAUUCGGAAGAACACCAGUGGCGAAGGCGGCUCACUGGACUGGUAUGACGCUGA
rnacentral:rRNA from 1 species